rnacentral:lncRNA from 1 species
UGCAAAAUGGUGCCCGGGUUAUCCAGAAACAUCUGGAUCUAAGCCAUCCCAUUCCUUCUGGAUAUAACCACAAAUUGAUAAAGAAAAAGGAUAUUUUCUGCAUGCUUCACUUAAGGCUCAGGUGACUGCCGCUUGUGGCUUUGACAUGAAAUUCAAGGGUAUUAAACCCCCAGUUUAGCAAGAUAGAUGAACACGUUUGCAGCAGGACUUCCAGAGAGGACUGGGCAAGUGCUCACAGUUACCUACCCAGGUGAGGGAGCAUUCACAAGGCACAAUUCCACUGGCAGAGCUGGGGCAGUUGGCAACAUCUAACACAGAUGUGGCGACAGGCAGCUAGGAAUGGUACAGCUGUUUGCCAGGUAAACGUCUGCGUGCAUAUAUAUAUGUAUGUGUAGAUAUAUAUGUAUAUGUUAUGGCCUUGGCAUUUCUCCUUUAGAAGAUAAAUGACUUA